AGCGAACGCUGGCGGCAGGCCUAACACAUGCAGGUCGAGCGCCCGUAGCAAUACGGGAGCGGCAGACGGGUGAGUAACACGUGGGAACGUACCCUUCGGUUCGGAAUAACCCAGGGAAACUUGGAUUAAUACCGGAUACGUCCGUAAGGAGAAAGAUUUAUCGCCGAAGGAUCGGCCCGCGUCCGAUUAGCUUGUUGGUGGGGUAAUGGCCCACCAAGGCUACGAUCGGUAGCUGGUCUGAGAGGAUGAUCAGCCACACUGGGACUGAGACACGGCCCAGACUCCUACGGGAGGCAGCAGUGGGGAAUAUUGGACAAUGGGCGCAAGCCUGAUCCAGCCAUGCCGCGUGGGUGAUGAAGGCCCUAGGGUUGUAAAGCCCUUUCGGCGGGGAAGAUAAUGACGGUACCCGCAGAAGAAGCCCCGGCUAACUUCGUGCCAGCAGCCGCCGUAAAAC
rnacentral:rRNA from 1 species